AUGUCACUAUUAUCUAAGGCACGGAGUUGCAAUGAUACAAUCGAGUCUCUUGACAGGGGUGAAAGGGAAGUACUGCGCGUAGUGUAUACAGGAUUUGUCGAAACAAUCACAAAGCUCUUUCCAGCAGUUGCUACGUUAUCCUGUCACCUCCAACCAUCAGCUGCAGCUAGCACAUCAUCUGUGCAUAGUCAUGGCAGGCAUGACUUGUUAUUGCCCUGUAACGAGUCGUCGUGCACAACUCAAAGGGUGAUCCUGAGGAGGAGGAAAAGAGCGGAAAGGGCAAUGUCCGAUGAACCAUCAAAAAGAGCGCACACGGAAGUAGGGCUUUCUGCUGCUUUAUCUGAAUGCAAUGAAUCUGCUGCUGAGGUAUUCAGAUGUUUGUCAUGCUUCUCCUUCUUCAUUCCAACAGGUAUUGAUAUGAGCCACUUUUUGUUUUGA
rnacentral:rRNA from 1 species